rnacentral:rRNA from 1 species
AUUGAACGCUGGCGGCAGGCCUAACACAUGCAAGUCGAGCGGAUGAAGGGAGCUUGCUCCUGGAUUCAGCGGCGGACGGGUGAGUAAUGCCUAGGAAUCUGCCUGGUAGUGGGGGAUAACGUCCGGAAACGGGCGCUAAUACCGCAUACGUCCUGGGGGAGAAGGGGGGGGAUUUUGGGCCCCCACGCUAUAAGAGGACCCUAGGUGGGUUUGCUUGUUUGUGGGGGUAAGGCCCACCCAGGGGAACGUCCCGUAAGGGGCUGGGGGGAGGAUGAGUCCCACUUGGACCUGGGCACCGGUCAGACCCCUACGGGAGGGAGCAGUGGGGAAUAUUGGACAAUGGGCGAAAGCCUGAUCCAGCCCUGCCGCGUGUGUGAAGAAGGUCUUCGGAUUGUAAAGCACUUUAAGUUGGGAGGAAGGGCAGUAAGUUAAUACCUUGCUGUUUUGACGUUACCAACAGAAUAAGCACCGGCUAACUUCGUG